UUUUCCCCCAUUCUCUGCAUCCGACUCUCCCUCUUCUCUUUGAGUCUCCCCUUUCCACUGCUUUACAUGUCUCCCUUUCCACAGCUCUACGCCUUCCUCCCCUGCUUUACGACUUCAUCUCGAGCGAUCACCUCAUUUCUGCAAGUCCAUAGUUGGGUGAACAACUUUUUUCAGGUGUCUUCCGCACUUCCUCGCAAUUUCGAAUCUGUGGAAUCCCGUUGCUGAGGAAGAGGAACCAGACGGUGAUGCAUCUUCUAAAGUAUCACAUGGAUUUGAUGAGAAGAGUAGUGUGCAGGACAGAA